rnacentral:snRNA from 1 species
GUGCUCGCUUCGGCAGGACAUAUAUUAAAAAAUUGGAACGAUACAGAGAAGAUUAGCAUGGCCACUGCGCAAGGAUGACACGCAAAUUCAUGAANCGUUCCAUAUAGAU